UCGAUUAUUUAGCAAACGACAACAUUUUUUUUUUGAGUGAAACAGGGGCUUGCCCCUACUAGAUUUUAUUGAAAGUUAAAAUAAAAACAGAGGGAUACAAAAAAAUAUUUAAAAAUCAGAAGACAUUUUAUAUGACUUUUCCCUCACAAAAAUACGUUUAUGGUUUCAGAUAUGGAGGAGGGCGCAUAUGGAGUAAGAUCACAAGGUUCAAAUUGGACACUGCGUUCCACUAAACAAGAGGCGCACUUUAUAUCCAAUUAUAUCGCCGGCCUGUCACUCGCUGCUUCACCUACGAUCGCAGCAAGGCCAAUGCUGGUUUGUAUGUGGAACCGGAGACGGCGGUGAGCUCGGCUGCCUCCCUCCUGCACGCAGACCAUCAAAAACACAUGCAAGUCAGCUGCUUAAUCCUCACGUGUAGCUGUGCUGGCUAGCAGCUUGUCAACUGAAGAAACCAGGAGCCAUAAACUAACCACCGGAAGCGGCGUAAUCGAUCAUAGCACGUAGGAGUAUAGUACCUUGGGCAGGCUCAACGUGCAAGGCGAGAAUGAUGAAGAACGCCACCACCAAGAUCGCCAAGAAACGCAGAAGUACGAGCAAGGAGGGACGAGGCGCCUUCAUUAAUUUUAUGGAUCUUUUUGCUGUGCGCCGCGGCUCUGUAUAUCUGAUCUAUGUCG
rnacentral:lncRNA from 1 species